rnacentral:rRNA from 1 species
AGAGCGAACGCUGGCGGCAGGCCUAAUACAUGCAAGUCGAACGGAUCCUUCGGGAUUAGUGGCGGACGGGUGAGUAACACGUGGGAACGUGCCCUUUGGUUCGGAACAACUCAGGGAAACUUGAGCUAAUACCGAAUGUGCCCUUCGGGGGAAAGAUUUAUCGCCAUUGGAGCGGCCCGCGUCUGAUUAGCUAGUUGGUGAGGUAAAGGCUCACCAAGGCGACGAUCAGUAGCUGGUCUGAGAGGAUGAUCAGCCACACUGGGACUGAGACACGGCCCAGACUCCUACGGGAGGCAGCAGUAGGGAAUCUUGCGCAAUGGGCGAAAGCCUGACGCAGCCAUGCCGCGUGAAUGAUGAAGGUCUUAGGAUUGUAAAAUUCUUUCAGCGGGGACGAUAAUGACGGUACCGCAGAAGAAGCCCGGCUAACUUCGUGCCAGCAGCCGC